rnacentral:lncRNA from 1 species
GGGAGACAGCGGGCAGCGCCAGAGGAGGAGGACGCGGGAAGAUGGAGCUGCCCACGGCCUGCAGUCCGUGCCUCUCUGCCCGCGCGGGGACCACACAGUUGGAGAGGCUGCCGGGCACCGGCGCGGGCGAUGCUCAGCAUGGACCUCCGGCCGGUGCGCGCUCCUGCCCUGCCUUGGGGCUGGGGACUCGGCGGGACUCCAGCUACUGCAGUGGCUCCGCGGGCUCCCACCUCCGGGCCGCACCGGCGCCGCCAGAGGCCGGGACACCUGCAGCCCGCGGAGUGCGGUCUGGCCGCGCCUCUGUGCCCGGGCACAGCUGUGGGGACACUGGGUGCGGAAAACCGGGCGCCAGGACGUGGGAGAGCCGCGGACCUGCCUUUAAAGGCCAGCCUGGGCUUGUUUUCCCGGUAGUACUGGGUUCUGAGAGAGAGUAACUGCAUGGAAGGCCUUGAAGACUGGGCUUGGGCCUGCUGUACCCACAUGACUGCUUCUGCCACGUUCUACUGGCCAAGCUCUAUGGGCAGCUCAGACACAAGGGAAGAGACUCUGCUGCUUCCUGGGAGAAGCUGCAAGACCACAUUGCGAAGGAACAUGUUGUUGCUGCUCCCAUGUUACCUUCGUCAGUGACCUGAGAUGCAGACUGGAUCUAGGGAAUGGUGUUUCCUGUGUGAUGCCUUCCAGGAGUAUCUGCACCACGGGCAGUGCCAGGCCGAGGACAGAGGGCCUAAUGGAGGACACUCUACAACUCCAUCCUGCUGCUGGGGGGGCUUGGGGGCGCCUCCACGAGGGUCUUCAGAGGAAAGGCAUGUGUGUGGUCUGUGGCCUGCCAGCAGGAGAGCUGGGGGAGGCCGGCAUCUUGAGGCUGUUGGCAGCAAGUGCAGGCAGAGGCCUCGGGCCAGAGGGGAGGUGGCAGGGCUCAGGUGCCCUGUGCUUCCUCGGAGAAGGCACUUGGGAUGAAGGCUUAGUCCUGCCUGGUAAACCUGGAGGCCUGUGAACACUGGGGUUAGCCCCAACAAGGGAGGAGGUUCCCGCUGCCUCACUAAGAACAGCCUGCUGCUACACUCACCCUGACAGCUGCUCCGCUCCCAGUGAACCCCACCCCGAGAAGGCUCAUCGGGGCCACGGACCUCCCUCAGCGCUGCAUUCAGAAUCCCUCAGGAGUUGUAAACUUCCUGAUUUCUGGACCCAUCACCAGAGCCCAACGUCACGGGUAAGGGUUAGGGCCUGGAUGUCAGGAUUCAAUUUGGAGAAUUCCCCGGGGCAAUUCCACCAUUGCAGACACUGAAACGGAGCUGGGGCAGAAGAAUCACACCAGGUGGCUCGAGCUGAGCGGCUGGGAGUGUGGCAGUGAAGACACUGAGUGUCCGUCAGGGAAGAUGGCUCUGGGUACAACAGCGUGCCCAGCCCCUUAGAUAUUCUCUGCACGGAAGUGGCCCCACCCUGAAGCGCGUGUGCAGUGACUGUUCAUGCUUCUGUGUGUGUGCAGGAGUAGUUUGGUUGGAGUGUGCAUAUGCGAAUGUGUGUGUAUGGAAGUCUAUCUAUCUGUAAUGUAAAGCAGUUGCGUAAUGCAAAUGUGUGUGUAUGGACAUCUAUCUGUAAUGCAAAGCAGUUGCGUAAUGCAAAUGUGUGUGUAUGGAUGUCUAUCUAUCUGUAAUGUAAAGUUCCCAAGUAUUGUGUAUAUCAUUGUUUGAGUUUUUAAAUUCUAAGAUAAUUUCUAGAGAAAAAGAUGUACGGGUGAUUCCUGGUGAAAAGCAGGGACCGUGGGCCUCAUAUUGAGACACAUUUCACGCUGUUUAGAUUGUAAUGGCAAUUAUGUAUGACUUUUGUACGUUUUUUAAAAAGCCAAUAAAAUACAUUUUAAAAUGUGGAAUUAUUUCUUCUAAUUUAAA